rnacentral:rRNA from 1 species
AGCCCUUCGGGGUGGAUUAGUGGCGAACGGGUGAGUAACACGUGGGCAAUCUGCCCUUCACUCUGGGACAAGCCCUGGAAACGGGGUCUAAUACCGGAUAACACCGGCUUCCGCAUGGAAGCUGGUUGAAAGCUCCGGCGGUGAAGGAUGAGCCCGCGGCCUAUCAGCUUGUUGGUGGGGUAAUGGCCCACCAAGGCGACGACGGGUAGCCGGCCUGAGAGGGCGACCGGCCACACUGGGACUGAGACACGGCCCAGACUCCUACGGGAGGCAGCAGUGGGGAAUAUUGCACAAUGGGCGAAAGCCUGAUGCAGCGACGCCGCGUGAGGGAUGACGGCCUUCGGGUUGUAAACCUCUUUCAGCAGGGAAGAAGCGAAAGUGACGGUACCUGCAGAAGAAGCGCCGGCUAACUACGUGCCA